GGCGGGUGUAGUUUAGUGGUAAAACUACAGCCUUCCAAGCUGUUGUCGCGAGUUCGAUUCUCGUCACCCGCUU
rnacentral:tRNA from 2 species